rnacentral:lncRNA from 1 species
UCUCAUCAAUUAACUAAUUUUUUUUUCUAAAAAAUCAAUUUCUCUCCCCCUCGUAACUCAAAUCAAACAAAAAAACUAGUGACCAUAAACAAUUUCUCACACUGGUUUUAUGGUUUAGUGUGGUUAUCUCUUCUCGAUGCUAGAAUCUUGCACAAGUUUUAUCCAGAUCUAGAUCCAAAACAGCAAAACUCAUGUCUACAUCUCAAUGUAAAAUUCAAGAUCUAUAUUAUAUAGUUUGGUAAAA